CACGUAGGGCGCGAGCGUUGUCCGGAAUUAUUGGGCGUAAAGAGCUCGUAGGCGGCCUGUUGCGUCCGCUGUGAAAGCCCGGGGCUUAACCCCGGGUCUGCAGUGGAUACGGGCAGGCUAGAGGUAGGUAGGGGAGAAUGGAAUUCCCGGUGUAGCGGUGAAAUGCGCAGAUAUCGGGAGGAACACCGGUGGCUAAGGCGGUUCUCUGGGCCUUACCUGACGCUGAGGAGCGAAAGCGUGGUGAGCGAACAGG
rnacentral:rRNA from 1 species